GACACGACCGUACCGCAAACCGACACUGGUGCGCGAGAUGAGUAUUCUAAGGCGCUUGAGAGAACUCAGGAGAAGGAACUCGGCAAAUUGACACCGUAACUUCGGAAGAAGGUGUGCCUUUAGUAGGUGAACCAUUUACUUGGGGAGCCCAAUGAGGCUGCAAAAAAUCGGUGGCUGCAACUGUUUAUUAAAAACACAGCACUCUGCUAAGACGAAAGUCGACGUAUAGGGUGUGACGCCUGCCCGGUGCUGGAAGAUUAAAUGAUGGGGUGCAAGCUCUUGAUUGAAGUCCCAGUAAACGGCGGCCGUAACAAUAACGGUCCUAAGGUAGCGAAAUUCCUUGUCGGGUAAGUUCCGACCUGCACGAAUGGCGUAAUGAUGGCCACACUGUCUCCUCCUGAGACUCAGCGAAGUUGAAAUGUUUGUGAUGAUGCAAUCUCCCCGCGGAAAGACGGAAAGACCCCAUGAACCUUUACUGUAGCUUUGUAUUGGACUUUGAACAGAUCUGUGUAGGAUAGGUGGGAGGCUUUGAAGUGUGGUCGCUAGAUCGCAUGGAGCCAACGUUGAAAUACCACCCUGGUGUGUUUGAGGUUCUAACCUAGGUCCAUUAUCUGGAUCGGGGACAGUGCAUGGUAGGCAGUUUGACUGGGGCGGUCUCCUCCCAAAGUGUAACGGAGGAGUUCGAAGGUACGCUAGGUACGGUCGGACAUCGUGCUAAUAGUGCAAUGGCAUAAGCGUGCUUAACUGCGAGACUGACAAGUCGAGCAGAUGCGAAAGCAGGACAUAGUGAUCCGGUGGUUCUGUAUGGAAGGGCCAUCGCUCAACGGAUAAAAGGUACUCUGGAUAACAGGCUGAUACCGCUCAAGAGUUCAUAUCGACGGCGGUGUUUGGCACCUCGAUGUCGGCUCAUCUCAUCCUGGGGCUGUAGCCGGUCCCAAGGGUAUGGCUGUUCGCCAUUUAAAGAGGUACGUGAGCUGGGUUUAAAACGUCGUGAGACAGUUUGGUCCCUAUCUUCCGUGGGCGCUGCAGAUUUGAGGAAGCCUGCUCCUAGUACGAGAGGACCGGAGUGGACGAACCUCUGGUGUAUCGGUUGUCACGCCAGUGGCAUUGCCGAGUAGCUAAGUUCGGAAGAGAUAACCGCUGAAAGCAUCUAAGCGGGAAACUCGUUUCAAGAUUAGAUCUGCCGGGGCCUUGAGCCCCCUAAAGAGUCGUUCAAGACCAGGACGUUGAUAGGUCAGGUGUGGAAGCGCAGUAAUGCGUUAAGCUAACUGAUACUAAUUGCUCGUGCGGCUUGACCU
rnacentral:rRNA from 1 species